rnacentral:misc_RNA from 1 species
CGGAACAGGGUUCGUGGUGUGGCAGCCGGCGGAGUUUGCCUGCGAUCUACUACCAACACUGUUCAAGCACAGCAACUUCUCCAGCUUUGUCCGGCAACUGAAUACCUAUGGUUUUCGCAAAGUUGCAACCAGCCGGUGGGAGUUCUGCAAUGACAUGUUUCGAAAGGGUAAAAGAGAGCUACUUUGUCAAAUUCGUCGACGAAAAGCAUGGUCUAACAAGCAACAACCGAUUGCACCAAUUCAAGCUACACCACAAGAGUUUGAGGAAGAUCAAAGAUCAUCAUCAACAUCAUCAUCAUCUGAAUAUAGUAACCUUAUCGAUGAAAAUAAACGUCUCAAGAAAGAAAAUUGUGCGUUGAGCUCCGAGCUCACUAGCAUGAAGAAGAAGUGCAAGGAGCUACUUGAUUUAGUGGCCAAAUAUGCACAUUUGGAGAAAGAAGAUGAUGGUGGUGAUGAUGAUGAGAGGCCAAAGUUGUUUGGUGUGA